rnacentral:misc_RNA from 1 species
GAUGAAGAACGCAGCGAAAUGCGAUAAGUAAUGUGAAUUGCAGAAUUCAGUGAAUCAUCGAAUCUUUGAACGCACAUUGCGCCCGCUAGUAUUCUGGCGGGCAUGCCUGUCCGAGCGUCAUUUCAACCCUCAAGCCCCCGGGAUUGGUGUUGGGGAUCGGCGAGCCUCCGCGCCCGCCGUCCCCUAAAUCUAGUGGCGGUCUCGCUGUAGCUUCCUCUGCGUAGUAGCACACCUCGCACUGGGAAACAGCGCGGCCACGCCGUUAAACCCCCAACUUCUGAACGUUUGACCUCGGAUCAGGUAGGAAUACCCGCUGAACUUAAGCAUAUCAAUAAGCGGAGGA